UGAAAACAAUGUCCGCUCUAGCUCGUUGACACUCAAUUAAGAAAUUUACAAACAAAGGUAACAAAUAACUUUCAUACUCACGUAAUAUUCUCCCUGCCAAAUUUCACCAAGAAGCCACCACGCAGCAUCACACAUGACACAUCACAAGUUCAGACGAAAUCCCCAAGGUGUUAAUGGACGCCAGUCCAACUUUUACAACACUUCUACAACACUGAGGAGAAGGCACUCAAGACAGAUAUCCUUUCAUGUUGUCUGCAAGUGAUUCCCAGACGUUUCAGCACUUGGGAAACAGUGCUGGACAGUGGAUUGCUGAAAGGAAAAACACCCAGUUGGUAAGGUAAACCUGCCCGUUAUUCAGAAUGUGUUUCUAUUCAUUGUGGACACUACUAGGCUACGUACUACAAGGCAAGAGCAAACAUUAAGUCAAUCACAAAUGAUGGUGAAGAUGAAAAAUCUGUUCCACACUACACUGUCUCACAGCAACAGCAUGUUCCUGGCUCAUUCGAUCCUCACUUUAGGGACAUGGCAUCUAAUCAAAUUAUUGUUCACCUGUUUCGAUUGCCAUUGAUAAUUGGAGAGCAGCAUUGGAAUGUGACAGUUUGUCUGGGCUAAAAGCCCUACUAAAUAGAUUCCUUUUGGGAAACUUCGUUUGUUCCUAAAAAAGUUACACCAUACUCAUCAUAAGUUAAAAGUUACUUUAAAAAACCAAACAAAUUCAAAUUAGGAUUUUGAGUGUUUUCAGAAAAUUUCAGCUGAAGUUGACCUAGGUAUAGGUGCAGACUGCAGCCUUGUGCUUGUGAAAACAUAGAUCAAGCGGGGCAAUCCAAUAGCGCAAGCUAUGUCUUCUAAAGCCAAAUAAUUAAUAUUCGCAAGGUUAACUUUUUGCAAUCAAGUUGUGGUUAAUCUCCAAAAUAUUGCUACUGUCCCAGGAUCCAAUUCUAUGCUUUUAUGUUGAAGACAAUUGCAAGCUAUUACUAAAGUGGUUGUGGUGACCACCAUUUGCUGAGUUCUAAUUUAGGAAAAUGUAAAUUACUCGCCGCUGAUUUAUUGUUUGGAAACUGACGGAAAGAAACUGACGGGUGAUUGGAAUAAAAUAUUGAUAAUUUGUGUAAACG